GUCCUCGUAUCCUGGAUACACUGACCUAAUAUAUCACAUGAUAAGGUACAUCAAAAUAUCCAUCUGUCCAUUUUCGAUCAACAUAUUGACGAUUGCAUUUAAUGAAAUGACACCUCUUUAAUUAAUUAAUUUAUUGAAAAUUAAUAAUUGCAUAUAAGAACAAAAUGGAAAUUCGUCCUGGAACUGUAAAACCUACAAGACUUUCAGUUUACAUUCGUGAGAGGAUAUUAAGUUUAAGAAGAUCUGGCAAAAACAUUACUGAAGUUAGAGAUGAGUUGAUACGAUCGGAUAAUGUUCAAGUUU
rnacentral:lncRNA from 1 species